rnacentral:tmRNA from 1 species
GGGGCUGAUUCUGGAUUCGACGGGAUUUGCGAAACCCAAGGUGCAUGCCGAGGGGCGGUUGGCCUCGUAAAAAGCCGCAAAAAAUAGUCGCAAACGACGAAAACUACGCUUUAGCAGCUUAAUAACCUGCUUAGAGCCCUCUCUCCCUAGCCUCCGCUCUUAGGACGGGGAUCAAGAGAGGUCAAACCCAAAAGAGAUCGCGUGGAAGCCCUGCCUGGGGUUGAAGCGUUAAAACUUAAUCAGGCUAGUUUGUUAGUGGCGUGUCCGUCCGCAGCUGGCAAACGAAUGUAAAGACUGACUAAGCAUGUAGUACCGAGGAUGUAGGAAUUUCGGACGCGGGUUCAACUCCCGCCAGCUCCACCA